UACAGAGGUGGCAAGCGUUGUCCGGAAUCAUUGGGCGCAAAGCGCGUGUAGGCGGCCCGGUAAGUCCGCUGUGAAAGUCGGGGGCUCAACCCUCGGAUGCCGGUGGAUACUGUCGGGCUAGAGUACGGAAGAGGCGAGUGGAAUUCCUGGUGUAGCGGUGGAAAUGCGCAGAUAUCAGGAGGAACACCAAUUGCGAAGGCAG
rnacentral:rRNA from 1 species